rnacentral:rRNA from 1 species
CCUACGGGUGGCAGCAGUCGAGAAUCAUUCACAAUGGGGGAAACCCUGAUGGUGCGACGCCGCGUGGGGGAAUGAAGGUCUUCGGAUUGUAAACCCCUGUCAUGUGGGAGCAAAUUAAAAAGAUAGUACCACAAGAGGAAGAGACGGCUAACUCUGUGCCAGCAGCGGCGGUAAUACAGAGGUCUCAAGCGUUGUUUGGAAUCACUGGGCGUAAGGCGUGCGUAGGCUGUUUCGUAAGUCGUGUGUGAAAGGCGCGGGCUCAACCCGCGGACGGCACGUGAUACUGCGAGACUAGAGUAAUGGAGGGGGAACCGGAAUGCUCGGUGUAGCAGUGAAAUGCGUAGAUAUCGAGAGGAACACUCGUGGCGAAGGCGGGUUCCUGGACAUUAACUGACGCUGAGGCACGAAGGCCAGGGGAGCGAAAGGGAUUAGAUACCCUGGUAGUC